rnacentral:rRNA from 1 species
GACGAACGCUGGCGGCGUGCUUAACACAUGCAAGUCGAACGGUAAGGCCCUUCGGGGUACUCGAGCGGCGAACGGGUGAGUAACACGUGAGUAAUCUGCCCUGCACUCUGGGAUAGCCUUGGGAAACUGAGAUUAAUACCGGAUAUGUUCACUUCCCGCAUGGGAUGGUGGUGGAAAGUUUUUCGGUGCAGGAUGUGCUCGCGGCCUAUCAGCUUGUUGGUGGGGUAAUGGCCUACCAAGGCUUCGACGGGUAGCCGGCCUGAGAGGGUGACCGGCCACACUGGGACUGAGACACGGCCCAGACUCCUACGGGAGGCAGCAGUGGGGAAUAUUGGACAAUGGGCGGAAGCCUGAUCCAGCAACGCCGCGUGAGGGAUGACGGCCUUCGGGUUGUAAACCUCUUUCAGCACAGACGAAGCGCAAGUGACGGUAUGUGCAGAAGAAGGACCGGCCAACUACGUGCCAGCAGCCGCAGUAA